rnacentral:rRNA from 1 species
CUGCCGGUGACAAACCGGAGGAAGGUGGGGAUGACGUCAAGUCAGCAUGGCCUUUAUGUCUGGGGCCACACACGUGCUACAAUGGCAGGUACAAACCGUCGCGAGACCGCAAGGUGGAGCUAAUCGGAUAAAGCCUGUCUCAGUUCGGAUUGUCGGCUGCAACUCGCCGGCAUGAAGUUGGAAUCGCUAGUAAUCGCGGAUCAGCACGCCGCGGUGAAUACGUUCCCGGGCCUUGUACACACCGCCCGUCACAUCACGAAAGCCGGCUGUACUAGAAGUCGCUGAGCUAACCCGCAAGGGAGGCAGGUGCCUAAGGUAUGGUCGGUGAUUGGGGUGAAGUCGU